rnacentral:rRNA from 1 species
GUGGGGAAUUUUCCGCAAUGGGCGAAAGCCUGACGGAGUGACGCCGCGUGUGGGACGAAGGCCUUCGGGUCGUAAACCACUGUCAGUGGGAAAGAUGGGUGUCGGCGCGAUAACCGCCGGCAUUUGACGGUACCUGCAGAGGAAGCCCCGGCUAACUCUGUGCCAGCAGCCGCGGUAAGACAGAGGGGGCAAGCGUUGCUCGGAAUUACUGGGCGUAAAGGGCGCGUAGGCGGGAUGGCAAGUCGGUCGUGAAAUCCCUCGGCUCAACUGAGGAUCGUCGAUCGAUACUGCCGUUCUUGAGGAUUGCAGAGGAGACUGGAAUUCCCGGUGUAGCGGUGAAAUGUGUAGAGAUCGGGAGGAACACCGGUGGCGAAGGCGGGUCUCUGGGCAAUUCCUGACGCUGAGGCGCGAAAGCGUGGGGAGCAAACGGGAUUAGAAACCCCAGUAGUCC